rnacentral:rRNA from 1 species
AUGGAGGAGCAAGAUCCUGCGGCGCUGCGCGUGGGGAUCAUUGGGUUCGGCAACUUCAGGCAGUUCAUCGCCAGGGGCAUCCAGCGGCAGGGCCACGCCGUGCUGGCCACUUCCAGAUCCGACCACUCCGACUACUGCUCCGCCCACGGGAUUCGCUUCUUCAGAAGCUUGGAGGCGCUGUGCGAGGAGCAGCCGGACGGGCUGCUGGUUUGCAGCUCCAUCCUCUCCACGGAGUCCGUCGUCUGCGCCAUCCCCCUCGCCAAGCUCCGCCCCAACACCAUCGUUGCCGACGUGCUCUCCGUCAAGCAGUUCCCCCGCAACCUCGUCCUCGAGUACAUGAGGGAGCAUUUAAACUCUUGUGCAAAACCUCCAUGCUCGAAAGAAAUAACCUAUAUUGCCUCCAUCUGCUAA